rnacentral:rRNA from 1 species
AUGGGGUGCCGGUCCUGCGACAAGCCCAAGAUGAACUACAGGAAGGGGCUGUGGUCUCCUGAGGAGGACCAGAGGCUGAGGGACUACAUCCUCAAGCAUGGGCUCGGCUGCUGGAGUGCUGUCCCUGCAAAGGCUGGUCUGCAGAGGAAUGGCAAGAGCUGCCGGCUGCGUUGGAUCAACUACCUGCGGCCCGGAUUGAAGCGCGGGAUGUUCUCGCAAGAGGAGGAGGACGUCGUCAUCAACCUACAAGCCAAGCUGGGCAACAAGUGGUCGCAGAUCGCGAUGCAUCUGCCUGGGAGGACGGACAACGAGGUGAAGAACUACUGGAACUCGUACCUGAAGAAGCGGGUGAUGCAGCUGGGCUCCAACUCCAGCUCCAACCCGGCCAGCAAGAACGCCUCGCCGGAGCUGCUCACCUCCAUGAGCGCCACCACGGAGCUCAUCAUGACCAGCGGCGGCGGCGGGGGCGGGGGCGGCAGCACGGCGACGUCGACCCACGACCACGACGCCAACAUCAGCAGCAGCGGCGCCAUCUCGGCCGCCGAGCCGUUCGUCGACCAGCACGAGCACCAGCACCACCACCAGCAGCAGGCCAAGAACUACGUCUUCGCCGACUGGAUGCCGACCGCGGCGGCUACGGCGGCGCCCGGGCCGGAGAGCUACUCCAUGUCCGCGCACUGGCCCGCCUCCACGGCCAGCUCCGGCAACGUGACGCCGUCGCACGGCGCGUUCGUCGGGGACCAGAUGAGCGGCAGCAGCUACGCCGCGCUGCAGCACCCGCACCAGCAGGAACACCACCACCACCACCACCACCAACAUGGCUCCACCGCCGCCGUGGGCGCUCACGCCGGCGCCGGCGGCAUGGUCGCCGGAGGCGGCUACUUCGACCUGCUCAACAUGGGCGACAUCUACGGCGGGUUCACCACGACGAACGACGAUUUGCUCUUCUGA